UUUUUUUUUUUUUUUUUUUUUUUUUUCCAAUGAGCUAUAUAAUUUCUGCCUGACUCUGCCUCCAGCCUACUGCAAUGCCAGCUUUUUGUGCACGGGGCUAUUUCUUGACUAAAAGAUGUUACACAACAGAAUAGUUUUUGAUAUCAAACUGAGAGUCUAUAUUCUAAUCUACUCAGGGUAAAUCAAAUCCAAACCCCCCCCUUCCACCAAAAAGCCUGUAAUGUUGCAAUAAAUGCAGUCUCAUUCUAAAUGGUUUAUUUAUGCUGCAUUAUUUUAAAAUAUGUAAUUUUAUAGUUUUUAUCCAUCUUUCUGGCUUUGGCUGUCAGUUUUCUGUGUUAAAGGAAAGAAUAUUAAAUAGUCUUUAUUCAGUUUACAGUGUUGUCAUUAUGGGGAGUGUCCUGCACUCAAUUUAGGAGUACAAACUGUAGUGGAUAGAGGUCUUUCACUCUUUGUGUUUGAUCAGAGCUGCUCUCUGUACCUCUGGGGAAGGAGACCCCUGUGAGUGCUGCCUGGUGAUCAGCGGGUGUUAAAUCCUCCUGUGAUAUGCUCAGUGUAGGUGACCACCACUGAGCCUGGCUUCAGCCACCUCUUGUGCUGUUCCCCUGAGAAUGCAGUGCCCAGGCACGGGUGGAAAGGGACUGAAGGGAGCUGGCCUUCCCUCCUGCACAGCUUCUGAGAGGUGCAGAGGGGAAAGAACCACGUCCUGUGAGGGCAGACGGGUGUGCCAGGAGCACUCCGUGCCUGGGCCACGCCGUGUGUCUGUGCCAGGGCAGAGAGCUCGGUGUUGGCAGCUGCAGGGAUGAACUCGAGGGCAUCCCACGUACUGCUGGUGUUUCCUCUGGGUGUGUGACAGGGCUGUUGUAGAGUCCUGCAGCUACAAGGUUUGGUAUCCACAAAACAGGUUAACAAAGCAUUUCUUGUUUUGUUCCUGUCAUGGCAAUCCUUGGAGGGCAGCGAGGUGGUGGCUCCUUUGUUUUUCUCCUACAGCUUCAUGUUGUGCUGCAGUUGAAUUGCAUGGCAGCAAGAACUGCUUUGAACACAAAAAACAUAGUCCCAAGCCUGCAUGGUUGGGACUGUCCUCGCAGAGGAGUUUCCUGCCAGCUGCUCUGCCUAGAGCUCCACUUGGGAGGGGAGUGGGCGCUGCCUGGGGUCCUCUGGUGCCUCUCACUGUGGCUUGGGCAUUUUCUUUGGCCAAGAGCAGCUGUGGUGUUUGAGGGUCAGUGGGUGUGGAUGUGUGCCCGUGGGAGACUGUGAUGCAGGAGUGUGACGAUUCCCCAGGAGUUGUGGGGGUUGCCUCUGAUGGGGACAAGGGUCCCAGAUGUGGCCUGCACUGUGACAGCUGGGCAAUUCAGCAACGCUUCUGAGCCUUCGCAGCCUUCAGGGAGGCUUUUUUACUUUUGCUACUUAUGACUUAGUCAACCUAAAACACGCUCCUGGUUGGGCCAGAGAGCAUCUUCAGAAACUCUCUUGUCACUGAAAUGAGUAGAAGAAACUACCAAAGUCUCUGAACUGGGAAGCUCAAUGUGAAGCUGCAGUGAUGGGCAGCAGUGCCCAGGGUCAAUCUCUGCUGUUUCUCUUCACAGCUGCUGGGUUUUUUGUUGUGUUCCAGGAAAAGCACUAUGUCCUGCUGAUUCUUUGGUGCAUUGGCUUUGCCAUUUCUCUCUUAUACAUGCAUCAGGCAGGCUGCAAUUCAGGUGGAACUGGUUAAAGCUUGUGCUGAGGCAGGAGCAUGUGAUUCUGUGAGCACACGGGCUGUGCAUCCACUGUGUUUUCCAGGUGUGUGCUGUUGUUGUUUAUCGUCCCAUCUGCUUUCCAGAGUGUUUUUGCUGCGUGUGUCUGAGAUGUUUUCACAUUUGUAUCAUCCCCAGUACUGUGUGAUCAGACUGUGCUCCAGGGCAGUCUGUGCCAUGCUGGGAUGGGAGGAGAUCCAAGGGCAGCAAAGCCCUGAGAUUCUGCAAGGCCAGAGAUUUUCCUGUCCUCUCCUUGCUGCUCCAGCAUUUAGUAUAUUCACUAUUACAUUAUUAAUGAAAGGGAGAGUUUCUGCCCUGGAUUCCCAGAAAAGGGUAAAUGUGUUGGAGUCUCUGGGAACAGCGUGCCUGCCUCUACAAAGUCUGCAUGAACCCCUUUAAUUAUCAGUCAGAGAGCAGAAGUGCACUGCUCUAGGUCACCUGUUUUGUGCUAGUGGGGGUUUACUUGGUCACUCAUAGUUUCUAGAUGGGUGUAGAAGCUCAAAUAUGUAGAGGGGGUCAAGUUACUGACUUUGGUAGCUUUGGUCACCAAGCAAGGACCCAAGCGAGCAGACUUGGCAUGCAGCUGAAGGUUGGAGAAAUUGCUUUUUGUGCUUGUAGGUGGGGGGUGGGGGGGUGGGGUGGAAAAUCAGCACUGAUUGAAUGCUGGUACUGAAUUACAUGGAACAAAGUACGAGUUGGACACUUGUGUAAUGCUGAGUGUCCCCAGGAAAACAAGUUCGCAGAACCUCAUACUGGUAUCUAAAAUGCACUUUAGGUUAUUUUAUCUUUAACCCAAUUGCUGCAAUUUCUUUUGUAUAUACUUUCACAAAGUUUAUUUUUGCUCUGAGUAAAAGUUAACAGGGGUGUGCAAAGAUGAGCACUUAACUUGGUGCAAUACCUGUAGCUAAAGAUCCUUGUCCCGCGUGGUCCGUGUGUGUCUGUCUGACAGAACAGGCGUGGUGGGUGCUGUGCUGCCCUUCCCCGUGCCCCAGACAAAUUAUGCAUCGUUAGCAAACGUCCAAUCUAUGCAAAUAACCCUCUGAGAGCACUGUGCUUCAGCAGCCUUUUCUCUCACGCUUUCUGGGGGCUGCUUGUCACUCCUGUUGGACAUGCCGUGUCCCUUGAUAUGUGUCCUUCUUCCCCUGCCCUCAUUCUGUGCCCACGUGGGAACACAAGUGACGAGCUGCUUUCAAACAGGCAUGUUGCACCUUUGAAAUUUGUCUUCAAGAUGGUUUCUGAUGUCCUGUUACUGCCUUAUUUCUUGGGGGUGGCAUGGCUGUAGCCAUCCACGACGUUGUCCUUGAUGUGCAGCAAGGCUGUGAACUGUUCACAGCACUCCUGCUCCGAGACAAACCAGGGGCAGGGCUGGAGCCAGGGCCCCUUGGCGUGGAGCUGCGGGGAACAGAGCCCAGGGGCUGUCCUGGGGUGGCUGGAGAUGCUGUGGCUGGGGUGUUGUGAGCUGAGGCAGCCGGGUCAGUGGGGCAGGGCAGAGCAGCUCUGCUGUGGCUUCCACCGCUGGCCGGGGCUCAGAGCCUCGCGCUGCCUCGGAUCCUCCCCACGGAGCCAGGCCAGGCUGCUGUCUCCACGAAAUGAUUGGAGAUCUGUGGGUGAAAAGUUCUUGGCAGGAGUUACCUGAGCUAGCUGGAGUCAGUUUGGACUGUAAGGCAAAAUGAAGAGCAUGUCUUUAAUAAACCCUAUGAAUUUCUGACUGCAGAGUUUUUAAUUGUAUACUAUUUUUUCCGUAACAUAUUUUGGAAGCAAUGUCGAGUUUUUAUAAAUGUUACCUGUAGUCAAUUCUCAUGGACAGGGCUGAACUUUUAACUUUUUUGUGUCUUGUCUUGAUAUCUUAUCACAUGUUCUAGAAGUUGGAUUCUGUGUCUGCACUGAGAAAUGCAAAUUAAACUGGAUAUUUAUGUAGUAGUGUACAUAGUCUGAGUGUGUGUUUUUGGAACUAGGUGAAACCCCACACCAUGCUGCAGUGGUGUGCAAGCUGGCCAAAAUUUGGUUCAUUAUGCAGCGUACACUUUCUCAAAUGCAGUUUCUACUUUUUCUUAAAAAAAUAUUUUUUUUCACGUGACCUUUUCCGGCAGACUUGAGGGUGUGUUUGCAGUGCUGUAGUUGCAGUUGCUGGUGUUGCUGGUUUGUGACUCUCGUGUCCUCCCGCUGCUCGGGCUGACCCUGCUCUGUUUUGCCUCACCCAGCCCAAACCCCAGCCUGGCUCCACACCGGGGGCAGCUCCAGCUCCAGCUGAGCUGUCGGGGCUGGGGGGCUGCACUGCCUGGGACUUUGGAGACAGCUGAACUAAAUCCCAGUUUCUCAAGAAUGUGUGUAUGGUAAUAAAGGAAUUUAUUUAACUCUGAAACAUGGCAACAAAUGUGCUUACAUUGAGCAAUGUGAAGAUGUUAGUUACAGGUACAGUACUUCCAAAGGAAGAGCAUCUCCAAAACCCAAAAGAGUAAAUAUGAAUUUGUAUUUUUUGAAGAAUGUGAAAUAAUGGUGUUUGCUUAAUUGCUCAUUUUGUAUGAAGUUAAUAUUGUACUUUGAAAUAUCUGCAAAGAAGUGGAAAUUAACCUUUUUGGAAUUGAAAGCAAUAUUAAUACUAAUGGAAUCCUAAUUAAAUGCUUAUUUAAA
rnacentral:lncRNA from 1 species